GACGAACGCUGGCGGCGCGCCUAACACAUGCAAGUCGAGCGAUGAAAUUUUAACCGAUCUCUUCGGAGAGAAGAUAAAAUGGAUUAGCGGCGGACGGGUGAGUAACACGUGAGAAACCUGCCUUUCACAAGGGGAUAGCCUCGGGAAACCGGGAUUAAUACCCUAUGACACAUUUCCUUCGCAUGGAAGAAAUGUUAAAAUUCCGGUGGUGAAAGAUGGUCUCGCGCCUGAUUAGCUAGUUGGUGGGGUAACGGCCCACCAAGGCCAUGAUCAGUAACCGGCCUGAGAGGGUGAACGGUCACAUUGGAACUGAGACACGGUCCAAACUCCUACGGGAGGCAGCAGUGGGGAAUAUUGCACAAUGGAGGAAACUCUGAUACAGCGACGCCGCGUGAGCGAUGAAGGCUUUCGAGUCGUAAAGCUCUGUCCUAUGGGAAGAUAAUGACGGUACCAUAGGAGGAAGCCCCGGCUAACUACGUG
rnacentral:rRNA from 1 species